rnacentral:rRNA from 1 species
UAAAUAGUUAGGCCAACGACUGUUGGUCGCCAACUUCUUAGAGGGACUAUUGACUAUUAGUCAAUGGAAGUUUUAGGCAAUAACAGGUCUGUGAUGCCCUUAGAUAUUCUGGGCCGCAAGCGCGUUACACUGAUCAAGCCAGCGAGUUUACAACCUUAACCUGAAGGUCUG